AGUGAACGCUGGCGGCGUGCCUAAUACAUGCAAGUCGAACGGAGUGGCGCACGGGUGAGUAAUGUGUAGCUAAUCUGCCCUACACUAGAGGACAACAGUUGGAAACGACUGCUAAUACUCUAUAGUGUAGGAUGAGGCUAUAUUGUAUCAGCUAGUUGGUGAGGUAAUGGCUCACCAAGGCUAUGACUGAGAACUGGUCUGAGAGGAUGAUCAGUCACAUGGGAACUGAGACACGGGCCAGACUCCUACGAGGGGCAGCAGUAGGGAAUAGUGCUCAAUGGGGGAAUCCCUGAAGCAGCAACGCCGCGUGGAGUAUUUCACUUGUCGGAGCGUAAACUACGUUUGUUAGGGAAGCGGUACCUUACGAAUAAGCACCGGCUAACUCCGUGCCAGCAGCCGCGGUAAUUC
rnacentral:rRNA from 1 species